AGUUUAGUGACUUUUAAAUCAGUCAGCCAAUCAUUUGUACGUUUUUGUUCUCUUGGCUCCAUUUGAUUUCUGCGUUGCAAAGAAUAUACUCGUGUGAGUCAACUUUAUUUAUUACUUGGAAGUUUUUUUUAAAAAAUUUAAGAAGCCUUUGCCGAAGGUAACCAUGUAUACUCAAAGUAGACUAAAAAAUUUCAAGAAUAAGGGCAGAGACACUGAGACUAUGCGACGGAGAAGAACUGAAGUUAAUGUAGAGCUUAGGAAGCA